GACGAACGCUGGCGGCGUGCUUAACACAUGCAAGUCGAACGGAAAGGCCCUGCUUUUGUGGGGUGCUCGAGUGGCGAACGCGUGAGUAACACGUGAGUAACCUGCCCUUGACAUUGGGAUAACUUCAGGAAACUGGGGCUAAUACCGGAUAGGAGCUCCUGCUGCAUGGUGGGGGUUGGAAAGUUUCGGCGGUUGGGGAUGGACUCGCGGCUUAUCCGCUUGUUGGUGGGGUAGUGGCUUACCAAGGCUUUGACGGGUAGCCGGCCUGAGAGGGUGACCGGCCACAUUGGGACUGAGAUACGGCGCAGACUCCUACGGGAGGCAGCAGUGGGGAAUAUUGCACAAUGGCCGGAAGCCAGAUGCAGCAACGCCGCGUGCGGGAUGACGGCCUUCGGGUUGUAAACCGCUUUCGCCUGUGACGAAGCGUGAGUGACGGUAAUGGGUAAAGAAGCACCGGCUAACUACGUG
rnacentral:rRNA from 1 species